rnacentral:lncRNA from 1 species
GUUCACAAUAUUGGCCCUUACGAAUGUGGACUGCGAGUGGAGGAAGCCAGCCGUGCCCAACGAGGUGCAGUCAGUGGAGGACGUGUACCCGGACGAAGACUAUGGAAGGGGAGGAACCAUUGGAGUCAACAUGGGGCCAGCAUCCCUGUAGAAGGCUUUUGACACCUUGAGGAGUCCAUGCCCCGACCAAUUGAGGUGGUUCUGAGGGUAGAAGGAGGUGCAACUCAAUAUUAGGAAGGUGGCUAGAGAGUUGGGCCAGUAACCGAAAGGUUGCUGGAUCGAAUCCCUGAGCUGACAAGGUAAACAUCGGUCAUUCUGAACAAGGCUGUUAACCCACUGUUCCCCGGCCGUCAAUAUAAAUAAGAAUUUGUUCUUAUGUUCUUAACUGACUUGCCUAGUUAAAAAAAAAUUUAAAGUCCUAAUGUUUUGUAUACUCAGUGUAUAAUGCCAGAAGAGAAGGUGCAUCUGCCUAAUUACAGACAAGUUGACUAAUAAAUAGCAGAAACACAUCUAAAUCAGGAAGAACAAUGUCUGCAUCCCCCUGUUAAAACUCGUUUAGCCGUUUCUGACUGUAGACUACAGGUCACUUUUUAUAUUAUCGGUUUAGAGUGGGGUGUAGGCAUCAGAUUCUCACUUUAUCACAUAGGCUAUAGUCGGACGGUUGCUGAUGGGUUAUUAGCUAUUGUGGUCGGUUGCUGAUGGGUUAUUAGCUAUUGUGGUCGGUUGCUGAUGGGUUAUUAGCUAUAGUCGGACGGUUGCUGAUGGGUUAUUAGCUAUUGUGGUCGGUUGCUGAUGGGUUAUUAGCUAUAGUCGGACGGUUGCUGAUGGGUUAUUAGCUAUUGUGGUCGGUUGCUGGUGAACAAACAGCUGACAUGCGCACCACUACAAAGACCUGUGUCUAUACAGCCUCUCCCCAUCAGGACUGAACUGAACUGAACUGAAUCCGUUCAUCUCCACUCGACACUCGCAGCGCGACAAAACAUCUUCAAUUAGGACACCAGGCGUGUCCGUAUAGCCCCUCUUUCGGGGAGAGCUUCUUCCGUAUAGCCCCUCUUCCGGGGACAUCCUCUUCCGGUAAGAGCCUCCUCUUCCUAAUGACGUCGCGUAGCUACCGUUUUGGUAGUCGAGGAUUCGUUGAAGAAAAGCGAAGAGAUUGUUGUCAACAACACGGGUUUUUAACACUGCCCUAGUUAAUUUACAGAGAACAAGAUGUCAGAUACAGACACGAAACCUUCAGGUCCAGAUGGAGGAGACCAAAAGGAUGGAGAGUACAUCAAACUGAAAGUGAUCGGUCAGGACAACAGUGAAAUUCACUUCAAAGUGAAAAUGACCACCCAUCUGAAGAAGCUGAAGGAGUCUUACAGCCAGAGACAGGGUGUUCAUAUGAGUACCUUACGGUUUCUAUUUGAGGGACAACGAAUCUCAGACAACCACACUCCAAAAGAGCUGGGGAUGGAAGACGAGGACGUCAUCGAGGUGUAUCAGGAACAGACUGGAGGACUUCGGAAUAAUUAGUCUACCUGGAUUUAACUUUUGUUGUUGUUGAUGAUGAUAAUAUUGUAUUUUAUAUUUGUACAAUUAAUUUACUGAGUGAAUUUUGUUUUGGCUUUGUGUUCCUCUCAGUGGUAGAGAGGAGAGAAUAACUGUUAUCGUUCUGUUUGUGCUGUUUUGCCAACUUGCGUGGCAAAAAGUUGUCACAAACAGACUGGCACUCGGGCUCUAUCUGUUUGUGCUGGCGUGACAAUGACUGUAGGAGUUGGCAAGACGGCACAGAAUGCAUUACAGAGUAGAAGUGCUGAUCGGGGAUCAGUUUUGCCUUUAAGAAUCAUAGGGGAUUUAAAAAAAAAAUUUACCAGGCAAGUCGGUUAAGAACAAAUUGUUAUUUACAACGACGGCCUACCGAGGAACAGUGGGUUAACUGCCUUGUUCAGGGGGCAGAACCACAGAUUUUUAUUUUCUUUUUUACCUCGUCAGCUCGGGGAUUCGAUCCAGAAACCUUUCGGUUACUGGCCCAACGCUCUAACCACUAGGCUACCUGCCACCCCAUUGACUACAUGGACAAGAGGGACCCUGAUUCCUAGAUCAGCACUCCUACUGUUUUAUGAUUACGGCCACCGGAACAAGGCUACUAUGAUUCCCCCCCCCCCCCCAUGUGGUCCAUCAGAAGACUCAUUAGGUUGGAUAAAUGUUUUCUUCAGACCCCUCCCCCCCCGUAGCUUCAGUUUGGUUGAUUGUCAUCCGUCCCCCAUAUAUAUAGCGUUCGACAGUAUAUAUUUUACUAGCUGAAGAUCCAGGUAACUGCCAAAGUAAAAGGAAACACUAACAUUGGGUGUUAAUAGGGUCACCACGACCCAGAACAGCUUCAAUGCACCUCGAGGGUAGAUUCUACAAGUGUCUUGAACUCUAUUGGAGGGAUGAGACACCAUUCUUCUUCCACGAGAAAUUCCAUUAUUUUGGUGUUUUGAUGAUGAUGAUGAUGAUGAUGAUGAUGGUGGCGGCGGGAAAAACGUUUUCUCAGGCACCGCUCCAGACUCUCCCGUAAGUGUUCAAUUUGGGUUGAGAUCUGGUGACCUGAGAUGGUCGUGGUCUUUGGGUUUUAUCGUUUUUUUUGUAAAAUGCUCACUAAACCAUUCGGUGACCUCUCAAGCCCUGUGGAUGGGGAUGGGGAUGGGGGGGGGGGGGUUGUCGUGGUAACCAAAAUAAUGUCCUGCUCAGCAUUAUUUUUUUUUUUUUGCUUGACCCUAAGCAUGAUGGGAUGUUAAUUGCUUAAUUAAUUUUGGGUUACAACACCUGUGUUGAAGCAUCUGCUUUCAAUAUAUUUUUGUAUCCCUCAUUUCCUCAUGUGUUUUUCCUUUGUUUUGGCAGUUACCUGUAGCUAGCGUGCCACUGUUAUUUCCUGACUUUUAUGUCAAGGUGUUAUACGACUUCAAUAACGUCUCAUCCUCGGGUUCAUUCAAAACGCUUGUCCACAGUCUUAAGUAUUUUAAUAACCAUCAUGUUCCCAUUCACUGCCUGUCUCUUUCUGUUAGAGAACUGGUCAAAUACCUUCUUAUUAAAGGCUCUAUUCAAUCAGCAUCGUCGAAGUCCAGCUUUGCAGCGGGAUUGAAAUAUAAACACAACGAUCCCGCUUUACCGGAAGACUUCACUCCCGGUAAACGCUGCACAUGUAGUAGGCUGAAACCGGGAGACUUCACUGCUGUUAAACGCUGCACAUGUAGUAGGCUGAAACCGGGAGACUUCACUCCCGGUAAACGCUGCACAUGUAGUAGGCUGAAACCGGGAGACUUCACUGCUGUUAAACGCUGCAGAUGUAGUAGGCUGAAACCGGAAGACUUCACUCCCGGUAAACGCUGCACAUGUAGUAGGCUGAAACCGGGAGACUUCACUCCCGGUAAACGCUGCAGAUGUCGUAGGCUGAAACCGGGAGACUUCACUCCCGGUAAACGCUGCAGAUGUCGUAGGCUGAAACCGGGAGACUUCACUCCCGGUAAACGCUGCAGAUGUCGUAGACUCAACCGGGAGACUACCGCGGAAUCUCUUCAGCUUUCCAGAUUGAAGAGGGCUCUUAAUCCGUAGUACAUAAUUUGUACUCUCAACUGUAUAGUACUCUGUAGUACUGAUCUGUAUAGUACUCUGUAGCUCUGAACUAUAUAGUACUCUGUAGUACUGAUCUGAACUGUAUAGUACUCUGUAGUACUGAACUGUAUAGUACUCUGUAGUACUGAACUGUAUAGUACUCUGUAGCUCUGAACUGUAUAGUACUCUGUAGCUCUGAACUGUAUAUGAAUUACUUUUUAAAGGCCCAGUGCAGUCAAAAACUAGAUUUUCCUUUGUUUUGUAUAUAUUUCCACACUGAGGUUUGAUUAAUAUUGUGACAAUACUGAUAAUGCCCUUUUAGUGUAAGAGCUGAUUGAAAAGAACACCUGAAAUAUCAGCCUGUUUUUGUUUUGAUGGAGGUUUAGCCUUGUAAUUUAGUUAAUAGACCGAAAUGGGAGUUCCAAACCUCUCUGCCAAUAGUUUUCAAUGUUCCCCUCCCCACUCAGACCCUCUCUACCAAUAACAGCUAGGUUCCCUCCCCCACUCGACCCUCUCUACCAAUAACAGCUAGUUUCCCUCCCCCACUCAGACCCUCUCUACCAAUAACAGCUAGUUUCCCUCCCCACUCAGAACCUCUCUACCAAUAACAGCUAGGUUCCCUCCCCCACUCAGACCCUCUCUACCAAUAACAGCUAGGUUCCCUCCCCCACUCAGACCCUCUCUACCAAUAACAGCAAGGUUCCCUCCCCCACUCAGACCCCCUCUACCAAUAACAGCUAGGUUCCCUCCCCCACUCAGAACCUCUCUACCAAUAACAGCUAGGUUCCCUCCCCCACUCAGACCCUCUCUACCAAUAACAGCUAGGUUCCCUCCCCCACUCAGAACCUCUCUACCAAUAACAGCUAGGUUCCCUCCCCCACUCAGACCCUCUCUACCAAUAACAGCUAGGUUCCCUCCCCCACUCAGACCCUCUCUACCAAUAACAGCUAGGUUCCCUCCCCCACUCAGAACCUCUCUACCAAUAACAGCUAGGUUCCCUCCCCCACUCAGAACCUCUCUACCAAUAACAGCUAGGUUCCCUCCCCCACUCAGAACCUCUCUACCAAUAACAGCUAGGUUCCCUCCCCCACUCAGACCCUCUCUACCAAUAACAGCUAGGUUCCCUCCCCCACUCAGACCCUCUCUACCAAUAACAGCUAGGUUCCCUCCCCCACUCAGACCCUCUCUACCAAUAACAGCUAGGUUCCCUCCCCCACUCAGACCCUCUCUACCAAUAACAGCUAGGUUCCCUCCCCCAUUCAGAACCUCUCUACCAAUAACAGCUAGGUUCCCUCCCCCACUCAGACCCUCUCUACCAAUAACAGCUAGGUUCCCUCCCCCACUCAGACCCUCUCUACCAAUAACAACUAGGUUCCCUCCCCCACUCAGACCCUCUCUACCAAUAACAGCUGGGUUCCCUCCCCACUCAGACCCUCUCUACCAAUAACAGCUAGGUUCCCUCCCCCACUCAGAACCUCUCUACCAAUAACAGCUGGGUUCCCUCCCCCACUGACCCUCUCUACCAAUAACAGCUAGGUUCCCUCCCCACUAAAUGUAACACGUUUGGUAAACAAUAUUGUUUAUAUUAUUACCGACAGGAUAAAGGCUGUGAGUUCCCAGCCAAAAUACUGAGCACUUUCUUAAUUCUGACUAACCUUGCAUUGUACACACUUCAUAUUUUCUAAAAAGAAAAUCAUGCAUUCAAAUGUUACCCCCUCUUGUAUAUUUUGUAUACGCCUUUUUAUAUAUAUAUAUAUAUAUUUUAUGUGAGUAAGACUUUUUUUUCAUCUCAUGUUAUUAGUUGUCUCAUUUCAGGAGGGGAGACCAUCAUAUGCAGUUUGGGUAUGCUGUACGCGGGGUGAUCAGUUUGGGUAUGCUGUACGCGGGGUGAUCAGUUUGGGUAUGCUGUACGCGGGGUGAUCCGUUUGGGUAUGCUGUACGUGGGGUGAUCAGUUUGGGUAUGCUGUACGCGGGGUGAUCAGUUUGGGUAUGCUGUACGCGGGGUGAUCAGUUUGGGUAUGCUGUACGCGGGGUGAUCAGUUUGGGUAUGCUGUACGCGGGGUGAUCAGUUUGGGUAUGCUGUACGUGGGGUGAUCAGUUUGGGUAUGCUGUACGCGGGGUGAUCAGUUUGGGUAUGCUGUACGCGGGGUGAUCAGUUUGGGUAUGCUGUACGCGGGGUGAUCAGUUUGGGUAUGCUGUACGUGGGGUGAUCAGUUUGGGUAUGCUGUACGUGGGGUGAUCAGUUUGGGUAUGCUGUACGUGGGGUGAUCAGUUUGGGUAUGCUGUACGCGGGGUGAUCAGUUUGGGUAUGCUGUACGCGGGGUGAUCAGUUUGGGUAUACUGGACGCGGGUGAUCAGUUUGGGUAUGCUGUACGCGGGUGAUCCGUUUGGGUAUACUGGACGCGGGUGAUCAGUUUGGCUAUGCUGAACGCGGGGUGAUCAGUUUGGGUAUGCUGUAUGUGGGGUGAUCAGAUUGGGUAUGCUGUACGUGGGGUGAUCAGUUUGGGUAUGCUGUACGCGGGGUGAUCCGUUUGGGUAUGCUGUACGCGGGGUGAUCAGUUUGGGUAUGCUGUACGCGGGGUGAUCAGUUUGGGUAUGCUGUACGCGGGGUGAUCAGUUUGGGUAUGCUGUACGCGGGGUGAUCAGUUUGGGUAUGCUGUACGCGGGGUGAUCCGUUUGGGUAUGCCGUGCGCGGGGUGAUCAGUUUGGGUAUGCUGUACGUGGGUGAUCAGUUUGGGUAUACUGUACGUGGGUGAUCCGUUUGGGUAUGCUGUACGCGGGUGAUCCGUUUGGGUAUGCUGUACGCGGGUGAUCCGUUUGGGUAUGCCGUGCGCGGGUUUUCAGUUUGGGUAUACUGUACGCGGGUGAUCAGUUUGGGUAUGCCGUACGCGGGUGAUCAGUUUGGGUAUGCUGUACGCGGGUGAUCAGUUUGGGUAUGCUGUACGCGGGUGAUCAGUUUGGGUACGCGGGUGAUCAGUUUGGGUAUACUGUACGUGGGUGAUCAGUUUGGGUAUACUGUACGCGGGUUUUCAGUUUGGGUAUACUGUACGCGGGUGAUCAGUUUGGGUAUGCUGUACGCGGGUGAUCCGUUUGGGUACGCCGUACGCGGGUGAUCGUACCUAAAGCUACUCAGGUAUCUACUCUCCUCCUCUGCUGAAGCAAAGCAGGAGGUCUAGCUGUAAAGGAUUGUACAUCCCCUCAAAUGGCACCCUAUUCUCUUUAUGUAGGGCACUAUUUUUGACCCGGACCCUAUUACGUGUACACAGUGUCUCACUGCGUCGAGCCAUAGAAUCACUUUGAUUUAAGUCACUCUUUAGAGAUGUAUAUAAUAGUUUUUUUACUUUUUUUUUUACUUUAGUUGCCAUGGAAGUGAAUGCAAUGCAUACAGUGUGUGUAUUCCGGAAUAGCACCUUAUUCCUUUUAUAGUGUGUUACUUUUGACCAGAGUCCUUG